rnacentral:rRNA from 1 species
CCUACGGUGCGCAGCAGUGGGGAAUAUUGGACAAUGGGCGAAAGCCUGAUCCAGCCAUGCCGCGUGUGUGAAGAAGGCCUUCGGGUUGUAAAGCACUUUCAGUGGGGAAGAAAGCCUUGGGGCUAAUACCCUCGAGGAAGGACAUCACCCACAGAAGAAGCACCGGCUAACUCCGUGCCAGCAGCCGCGGUAAUACGGAGGGUGCGAGCGUUAAUCGGAAUUACUGGGCGUAAAGCGCGCGUAGGCGGUCUGAUAAGCCGGUUGUGAAAGCCCCGGGCUCAACCUGGGAACGGCAUCCGGAACUGUCAGGCUAGAGUGCAGGAGAGGAAGGUAGAAUUCCCGGUGUAGCGGUGAAAUGCGUAGAGAUCGGGAGGAAUACCAGUGGCGAAGGCGGCCUUCUGGACUGACACUGACGCUGAGGUGCGAAAGCGUGGGUAGCAAACAGGAUUAGAUACCCUUGUAGUC